UAGAGAAAGAGCAAGAGAUGAUAGCGCAAAGGUUCCAAGAAACAAGCAUGAAUACAAGCAAUAACACUAGAACUCUAUAAAAAAAGAAUGGUACUCACACCUGAAGUGGUGGAAUUUUUUCUGAUUCCUUGAAGCUACUUAGAUAUAAUCUCCUUAACAUAAUUGCAAUCAGAAGAGCUGCAUGUCCAAAGGUUCUUCUUCAGCAAAGUCAUCUUUGCAGGCAGAGGGUGCCCAGAAGUCCAGAAGCAACAGCAACAAUUCUCCCACCUUAGCUUUUCACUGCAUUUAUUUUCUCUUCUUCACUGUAUCAUGGAGCAAAGCAUCUGUACUUGUCCUGUUUCUGCACACACUCAAUUCUGUGUGCUUUCAUCUAGAAAUGCAUAGAUUUAAGUAUCCAUGUUGAAUGAUCUUCCUCCGGAU
rnacentral:lncRNA from 1 species